rnacentral:rRNA from 1 species
UGAAUACGAGAUGCUACGGCAUCGAAGCAGUCUAUGUCAUACUUCCAAGAAAAGCUUGCACUGUCAUAAACAAAUAAUGCCUGUACCAUAACCGACACAGGUGGGUAGGUAGAGUAUACUAAGGGGCGCGAGAUAACUCUCUCUAAGGAACUCGGCAAAAUGACUCCGUAACUUCGGGAGAAGGAGUGCCUUAUUUUAUAAGGUUGCAAUAACAAGAUCCAAGCAACUGUUUACCAAAAACACAGGUCUCCGCUAAGUCGUAGGACGAUGUAUGGGGGCUGACGCCUGCCCAGUGCCAGAAGGUUAAAGAAGUUGGUUAGCAUUAGCGAAGCUGAUAACUGAAGCCCUGGUGAACGGCGGCCGUAACAAUAACGGUCCUAAGGUAGCGAAAUUCCUUGUCGGGUAAGUUCCGACCCGCACGAAAGGCGUAAUGAUUUGGAUACUGUCUCGGAGAGGGGCUCGGUGAAAUAGACUUGUCUGUGAAGAUGCGGACUACCUGCACCAGGACAGAAAGACCCUAUGAAGCUUUACUGUAACUUGAGAUUGAAAUUGGACUUUAUUUGCGCAGUAUAGGUGGGAGACGUUGAAAAUAUUCUUGCGGGAAUAUUGGAGUCAUCAGUGAGAUACCACUCUUAUAAUGUUAGAUUUCUAACUUUGAAUCAUUAUCUGGUCAAAGAACAGUCUCAGGCGGGCAGUUUGACUGGGGCGGUCGCCUCCCAAACGGUAACGGAGGCGCACAAAGGUUUCCUCUGAACGUGUAGAAAUCGUAUCUAGAGUGUAAAGGCAUAAGGAAGCUUGACUGUGAGACCUACAAGUCGAGCAGGGACGAAAGUCGGUCUUAGUGAUCUGACGGUGCUGAGUGGAAAGGCCGUCACUCAACGGAUAAAAGUUACUCUAGGAUAACAGGCUGAUCUCCCCCAAGAGUUCACAUCGACGGGGAGGUUUGGCACCUUGAUGUCGGCUCAUCGCAUCCUGGGGCGGUAGUACGUCUCAAGGGUUGGGCUGUUCGCCCAUGAAAGCGGUACGCGAGCUGGGUUCAGAACGUCGUGAGACAGUUCGGUCCAUAUCCGGUGUAGGCGUUAGAAUAUUGAGAGGAGCCUUCUUUAGUACGAGAGGACCGAGAAGGACAUACCUCUGGUGUACCAGUUAUCGUGCCAACGGUAAACGCUGGGUAGCUAUGUAUGGAGAGGAUAACCGCUGAAAGCAUCUAAGUGGGAAGCCCACCUCAAGAUAAGUAUUCUCAUG